rnacentral:rRNA from 1 species
GACGAACGCUGGCGGCGCGCCUAACACAUGCAAGUCGAACGAGCGAGAGGAAGCUUGCUUUCUCGAGCGAGUGGCGAACGGGUGAGUAACGCGUGAGGAACCUGCCUCAAAGAGGGGGACAACAGUUGGAAACGACUGCUAAUACCGCAUAAGCCCACGGCUCGGCAUCGAGCAGAGGGAAAAGGAGCAAUCCGCUUUGAGAUGGCCUCGCGUCCGAUUAGCUAGUUGGUGAGGUAACGGCCCACCAAGGCGACGAUCGGUAGCCGGACUGAGAGGUUGAACGGCCACAUUGGGACUGAGACACGGCCCAGACUCCUACGGGAGGCAGCAGUGGGGAAUAUUGCACAAUGGGGGAAACCCUGAUGCAGCGACGCCGCGUGGAGGAAGAAGGUCUUCGGAUUGUAAACUCCUGUUGUUGGGGAAGAUAAUGACGGUACCCAACAAGGAAGUGACGGCUAACUACGUGCCAGCAGCCGCGGUAAAACGUAGGUCACAAGCGUUGUCCGGAAUUACUGGGUGUAAAGGGAGCGCAGGCGGGAAGACAAGUUGGAAGUGAAAUCUAUGGGCUCAACCCAUAAACUGCUUUCAAAACUGUUUUUCUUGAGUAGUGCAGAGGUAGGCGGAAUUCCCGGUGUAGCGGUGGAAUGCGUAGAUAUCGGGAGGAACACCAGUGGCGAAGGCGGCCUACUGGGCACCAACUGACGCUGAGGCUCGAAAGUGUGGGUAGCAAACAGGAUUAGAUACCCUGGUAGUCCACACCGUAAACGAUGAUUACUAGGUGUUGGAGGAUUGACCCCUUCAGUGCCGCAGUUAACACAAUAAGUAAUCCACCUGGGGAGUACGACCGCAAGGUUGAAACUCAAAGGAAUUGACGGGGGCCCGCACAAGCAGUGGAGUAUGUGGUUUAAUUCGACGCAACGCGAAGAACCUUACCAAGUCUUGACAUCCCUUGACAGACAUAGAAAUAUGUAUUCUCUUCGGAGCAAGGAGACAGGUGGUGCAUGGUUGUCGUCAGCUCGUGUCGUGAGAUGUUGGGUUAAGUCCCGCAACGAGCGCAACCCUUAUGGUCAGUUACUACGCAAGAGGACUCUGGCCAGACUGCCGUUGACAAAACGGAGGAAGGUGGGGAUGACGUCAAAUCAUCAUGCCCUUUAUGACUUGGGCUACACACGUACUACAAUGGCGUUAAACAAAGAGAAGCAAGACCGCGAGGUGGAGCAAAACUCAGAAACAACGUCCCAGUUCGGACUGCAGGCUGCAACUCGCCUGCACGAAGUCGGAAUUGCUAGUAAUCGUGGAUCAGCAUGCCACGGUGAAUACGUUCCCGGGCCU